rnacentral:rRNA from 1 species
GGCUAGGGGGCUGUCAUGGCUUACCAAACCGAUGCAAACUCCGAAUACCGGCUAAUUGGAUCACGGGAGACACACGGCGGGUGCUAACGUCCGUCGUGGAGAGGGAAACAACCCAGACCGCCAGCUAAGGUCCCCAAGUACUAGUUAAGUGGGAAACGAUGUGGGAAGGCAUAGACAGCCAGGAGGUUGGCUUAGAAGCAGCCACCCUUUAAAGAAAGCGUAAUAGCUCACUGGUCGAGUCGGCCUGCGCGGAAGAUGUAACGGGGCUAAAACUAGUCACCGAAGCUGCGGAUGUGCGCGAAGGCGCACGUGGUAGGGGAGCGUUCUGUAGGCUGAUGAAGGUGCAUUGAGAGGUGUGCUGGAGGUAUCAGAAGUGCGAAUGCUGACAUGAGUAACGAUAAUGUGGGUGAAAAGCCCACACGCCGGAAGUCCCAGGUUUCCUGCACGACGUUAAUCGGAGCAGGGUGAGUCGGCCCCUAAGGCGAGGCUGAAGAGCGUAGUCGAUGGGAACCAGGUUAAUAUUCCUGGACUUUUUAUAAGUGGUGAAGUGGGGACGAAGAAGGCUAGGUGAGCCAGGCGUUGGUUGUCCUGGUACUUGCAUGUAGGGGGGAAGACUUGGCAAAUCCGGUUUUCCGAUACUCUGAGGUGCGAAGUGGUUCUGACCUUUUGGUACAGAGAAGUCAUUGAUGCCCGGCUUCCAGGAAAAGCUGCUAGCCAUAACUUAUAGAGAACCGUACCGCAAACCGACACAGGUGGACAGGUAGAGAAUACUAAGGCGCUUGAGAGAACUCGGGUGAAGGAACUAGGCAAAAUGGUACCGUAACUUCGGGAGAAGGUACGCCCUUUCUGGUGAUGGGAUUUACUUUCAGAGCUGGAGAGGGCCGCAGAGACCAGGUGGCUGCGACUGUUUAUUAAAAACACAGCACUCUGCAAAUUCGUAAGAAGACGUAUAGGGUGUGACGCCUGCCCGGUGCCGGAAGGUUAAUUGAUGGGGUUAUCUUCGGAGAAGCUCUUGAUCGAAGCCCCGGUAAACGGCGGCCGUAACUAUAACGGUCCUAAGGUAGCGAAAUUCCUUGUCGGGUAAGUUCCGACCUGCACGAAUGGCGUAACGAUGGCCACACUGUCUCCACCCGAGACUCAGUGAAAUUGAAAUCGCUGUGAAGAUGCAGUGUACCCGCGGCUAGACGGAAAGACCCCGUGAACCUUUACUAUAGUUUUGCACUGGACUUUGAUGAUGACUGUGUAGGAUAGGUGGGAGGCUGUGAAGUGAGGACGCUAGUUCUCAUGGAGCCGCCCUUGAAAUACCACCCUGUUGUUAUUGAGGUUCUAACUUGGUCCAGUAAUCCUGGAUGAGGACAGUGUAUGAUGGGUAGUUUGACUGGGGCGGUCUCCUCCCAAAGAGUAACGGAGGAGCACAAAGGUACCCUCGGUACGGUCGGACAUCGUACCAAGAGUGUAAAGGCAAAAGGGUGCUUGACUGCGAGAGUGACGGCUCGAGCAGGAACGAAAGUUGGUCUUAGUGAUCCGGUGGUUCUGAAUGGAAGGGCCAUCGCUCAACGGAUAAAAGGUACUCCGGGGAUAACAGGCUGAUACCGCCCAAGAGUUCAUAUCGACGGCGGUGUUUGGCACCUCGAUGUCGGCUCAUCACAUCCUGGGGCUGAAGCAGGUCCCAAGGGUAUGGCUGUUCGCCAUUUAAAGUGGUACGCGAGCUGGGUUUAGAACGUCGUGAGACAGUUCGGUCCCUAUCUGCCGUGGGCGUAGGAAAAUUGAGAGGAGCUGCUCCUAGUACGAGAGGACCGGAGUGGACGAACCUCUGGUGCACCGGUUGUCACGCCAGUGGCAUGGCCGGGUAGCUAAGUUCGGACGGGAUAACCGCUGAAAGCAUCUAAGCGGGAAGCCUCCCUCAAGAUGAGUUUUCCCAUGAAGCCCGUUGAAGACUACGACGUUGAUAGGCAAGGUGUGGAAGCGCAGUAAUGCGUGAAGCUAACUUGUACUAAUUGGCUGAUUGUCUUGACCAUAUAAUCUGAG